ACCUCGUAAACAUUGUUUUUCCGCCGCACACUCCUCCUUGUUUCUCCGCCGCCCACUCCUCCUUGUUUCUCUGCUGUUCAAAUCUUUCAUUCGCCGUCCGGUAACAACCGCAAAACCUUCAACAACAUAUCAAGAUAUUUGGGAUCAGAGUGCUCUACUUUUUAUACAAGAACUCAAGAAUAAACAUGGACAUCCGACUACAUCGUAGUUGGAUGUAUAAUAGGUUAAAUCCUGGUCGGAAGGGGUACACUGACGAGUUUCGAAAUGGGUUAGAUGAAUUUGUAUCAUUUGCACUUCGGCAAGAGGGCAUAAUUAAUAGUGAAAUUAGAUGUCCUUGUUCUAAUUGCAAA